rnacentral:rRNA from 1 species
UGGGGAAUAUUGCACAAUGGGCGCAAGCCUGAUGCAGCCAUGCCGCGUGUGUGAAGAAGGCCUUCGGGUUGUAAAGCACUUUCAGCGAGGAGGAAGGUGGUGAGCUUAAUACGCUCAUCAAUUGACGUUACUCGCAGAAGAAGCACCGGCUAACUCCGUGCCAGCAGCCGCGGUAAUACGGAGGGUGCAAGCGUUAAUCGGAAUUACUGGGCGUAAAGCGCACGCAGGCGGUUUGUUAAGUCAGAUGUGAAAUCCCCGGGCUCAACCUGGGAACUGCAUUUGAAACUGGCAAGCUAGAGUCUCGUAGAGGGGGGUAGAAUUCCAGGUGUAGCGGUGAAAUGCGUAGAGAUCUGGAGGAAUACCGGUGGCGAAGGCGGCCCCCUGGACGAAGACUGACGCUCAGGUGCGAAAGCGUGGGGCAGCAAACAGGAUUAGAUACCCUGGUAGUCCAGCGCUGUAAACGAUGUCGAUUUUGGAGGUUGUGCCCUUGAGGCGUGGCUUCCGGAGCUAACGCGUUAAAUCGACCGCCU